UGAAAAAAAUCUUGGCUACCCAGUUAACUGCAAUCAACGUCAAUGACUUGGUCAAGGUGGACGGAUACAUUACUAGACGGGUAACGAGAAUAAUACAACCACUAAAUUCCUUUUUGCUAGAAUGUGAUAAAGUCACAAAGUAUAGACUGAAAAUGUUGCCGGAAAUGAUAGUGAUACCGAGCAUCACGCCA